rnacentral:lncRNA from 1 species
GGUUAGUACCCUUUUCAGAAGCGAUACCAAAGAGGUCUUUCUCUGCCAUGUGAGGACACAGCAAGAAGGCGGCCAUCUGCAAGCCAGGGAAAGAGUUCUCACCAGGAGCCAAAUCAGCAGACACUUUGAUCUUGGACUUCCAGUCUCCAGAACUGAUUAGAGGAGGAGAGCGGGCAGCAGAGGGUGGUACUUCUGUGGAGAGAAGUGAAGGGGAAAGAAAUCAACGACAGCUUGAAGGAGGACACUCUUGUGAGAACCUGGGGAGAGUCAAAAGGUGCCGGUCACCAAGUCAGCCUCAAUCUUUCCAACAGAAUCGUAGAACUCCCCUCAGUCUGGAUAAGGACAUCGAGGAAGCUAUCACUCUCCUCUUUUCUAAUUGGAUGCCUCUCUCCUCCUGCUCCAAUCUGGACUGGCUGCUCUCUCCGGUGGCAUAGCUGUCAUCCAAGAUUUCUCUCCACCACCUGAAGCUGCUGUCUCCUGGAUCCCAUGUCUCCUGUCUUCAUGGUUUUCUCCCUUGUCUCGGUAGAAGAACUCAUGUGGUAGCUUUCUGGGUACACAAGAGAUAACACUUUGGAGAUCAUUUAUUUCUGAAAAUGCCUUUAUUCCACCUUCAUCUUUGAUUGAUCGUUUGGAUAUGGAAUCAAGAUUGUACCAAACAAAUCCCAGAAUUCUCUGAGGGCUUGUUUCUUGGGAUCACUCCUGGUACUAAUUCCUAUAUCAGCCAGGAUUCAGUUGGAAAACAG